UAACUUACCUGGACGGGGUCUAUGGGCGAUCAUGAAGGUCCAUGGCCUAGGUUGGUGACCUCCAUUGCACUCAGGAUGGGCGCACUUAAGAUAUCUCCAAGUGGGAUAGUGAACGCGUACCCUGCGAAAAAAAAUAAAAUUUGUCACAACUAUUGUUUGGCAAAAACUUUCAACCUCUUGU